UAAGUAGGUAGUGAAAGCGUGUGGCUCAACCAUACUCACAUUAUCUAAACUGCUAAGCUAGAGUUUGAGAGAGGUACCUGGAAUUCCCUGUGUAGGAGUGAAAUCCGUAGAUAUAGGGAGGAACACCGAUGGCGUAGGCAGGGUACUGGCUCAAUACUGACACUAAGGCACGAAAGCGUGGGGAGCAAACGGGAUUAGAUACCCCGGUAGUCCACGCCGUAAACUAUGGAUGCUA
rnacentral:rRNA from 1 species